rnacentral:rRNA from 1 species
AUUGAACGCUGGCGGCAUGCCUUACACAUGCAAGUCGAACGGCAGCAUAGGAGCUUGCUCCUGAUGGCGAGUGGCGAACGGGUGAGUAAUAUAUCGGAACGUGCCCUAGAGUGGGGGAUAACUAGUCGAAAGACUAGCUAAUACCGCAUACGAUCUACGGAUGAAAGUGGGGGAUCGCAAGACCUCAUGCUCCUGGAGCGGCCGAUAUCUGAUUAGCUAGUUGGUGGGGUAAAAGCCUACCAAGGCAACGAUCAGUAGCUGGUCUGAGAGGACGACCGGCCAAGCUGGGACUGAGACACGGCCCAGACUCCUACGGGAGGCAGCAGUGGGGAAUUUUGGACAAUGGGGGCAACCCUGAUCCAGCAAUGCCGCGUGAGUGAAGAAGGCCUUCGGGUUGUAAAGCUCUUUUGUCAGGGAAGAAACGGUAGUAGCUAAUAUCUAUUGCUAAUGACGGUACCUGAAGAAUAAGCACCGGCUAACUACGUGCCAGCCGCCGCCGUAA